CCACACCUCCUAAAAAUAAUUAUGCACAGAGGCCACACCCCCAAUUGUAAUGAGUUUAAGCCACGCCCCCUUAACAAUGACAGCUUUGAGGCCACACCCCCUCAACAGAAUCAACGGAUCAGGCCACGCCUCCUUUAAAAUCAUUGUGGGAGAGGCCACGCCCCCUUUCAACCUGCAUGUUUGAGGCCACGCCCCCAAAUCAUUUAGGUUUGAAGCCCUGCCCCUUAUGCAAAUAUACUGUGUUUAGGUCACACCCCUUGCCUUAAAAGCAUAGUUCAGGGCCACACCCCUCUGGUGAUUUGCAUACUUAAGCCACACCCUUCCUUAUAAAUAUUUAUUAGUGUUGUCUUUAUGGCCCGCCCUCUUUUCCAUGAGGCCACACCCCCUCAUUAAAACCUGUCCUUUUGAGACCACGCCCCUCAAGGGAAUUUAUUCUGGCCACGCCUUCUGUGAAGCCCCACCCCUUUCGUGUGUAGGCGUGGUUAAUUCUGUGGCCACACCCCCUCUUAAAGGGGCAACGCCUUUUUCUGCUCCCGCCCUUCCCCCAGCAGCGUUUUUUUACCCAAAUCAAUAAAAAAUGGGGAAAAAUCCCCAAAAAUCCA